GAAUGCAGGGAAGGAAGGGAAGGGAAGGGAAGAUAAAAAGAUAAAAACAAACAGAUGAAUGCAGGGAAGGAAGGGAAGGGAAGGGAAGAUAAAAAGAUAAAAACAAACAGAUGAAUGCAGGGAAGGAAGGGAAGGGAAGGGAAGAUAAAAAGAUAAAAACAAACAGAUGAAUGCAGGGAAGGAAGGGAAGGGAAGGGAAGAUA